ACCUACGGGAGGCAGCAGUGGGGAAUAUUGCACAAUGGGGGGAACCCUGAUGCAGCGACGCCGCGUGAGUGAAGAAGUAUUUCGGUAUGUAAAGCUCUAUCAGCAGGGAAGAAGAUGACGGUACCUGACUAAGAAGCCCCGGCUAACUACGUGCCAGCAGCCGCGGUAAUACGUAGGGGGCAAGCGUUAUCCGGAUUUACUGGGUGUAAAGGGAGCGUAGACGGUUACGCAAGUCUGGAGUGAGAGGCGGGGG
rnacentral:rRNA from 1 species